rnacentral:tRNA from 1 species
AGGGAUAUAACUCAGCGGUAGAACCCGCAGCUUCCGCCUUGACGUGGUGGAAGUCAUCAGUUCGAGCCUGAUUAUCCCUA